GCAAGUCGAACGAGAUCUUCGGAUCUAGUGGCGCACGGGUGCGUAACGCGUAUGCAACUUACCUCUUACUGGGGAAUAACUUUCCGAAAGGGAAGCUAAUACCGCAUAAUAGAUAUUGAGGCAUCUCAUAAUCUUAAAAGGUUACGGUAGGAGAUGGGCAUGCGUCCCAUUAGCUAGUUGGUAAGGUAACGGCUUACCAAGGCGACGAUAGGUAGGGGUCCUGAGAGGGAGAUC
rnacentral:rRNA from 1 species